UCAGCGGGUGAGGCAGCAUCUAUGGAGAGAAGGAAUGAAUGGGUGACGUUUCGGGUCGAGACCCUUCUUCAGACUUAAAGCCGCGGGAAAGGGAAUCGAG